UACGAAGGGGGCUAGCGUUGCUCGGAAUCACUGGGCGUAAAGCGCACGUAGGCGGAUUGCUAAGUCAGGGGUGAAAUCCUGGAGCUCAACUCCAGAACUGCCUUUGAUACUGUCGAUCUUGAGUCCGGGAGAGGUGAGUGGAACUGCGAGUGUAGAGGUGAAAUUCGUAGAUAUUCGCAAGAACACCAGUGGCGAAGGCGGCUCACUGGCCCGGUACUGACGCUGAGGUGCGAAAGCGUGGGGAGCAAACAGG
rnacentral:rRNA from 1 species